rnacentral:hammerhead_ribozyme from 1 species
AUCCAGCUGAUGAAUCCCGAAUAGGACGAAGCGCGCGUCCUGGAU